CGAAACUAGUUUCAAUGAUCCAACCGUCAAACAUGUUUGUAUAUACUUCGAGAUCGCAUACGCCAAAAAUUGAAAAAAACAAACAUUCAGAGAUCAAGUAACGGGACAAAACUUUUCGACGGUUAUAAAACGAAAAAUCACGAUUUAACGGUUAUUUUAACUCCGAUUUUGAUGAUUUUUUACAACUACACUCCUUGACCUUAUAUGAAUACAAUGAUUGAAUUCGAUCUUCAAUUUUAAAAUAUUUACACUAGUGGAUACCACAAAAUCUUAUGUUAUACUUAAUAAAAGUAUGAAUAAACUCUUAAGUAUUAGUGAAUCUAUUGUUUUUUAUGGGAUACUCAUUCUACGAAACUAGUUUCAACGAUCCAACCGUCAAACAUGUUUGUAUAUGCUUUGAGAUCACAUACGCCAAAAAUUGAAAAAAACAAACAUUAAGAGAUCAUGUAACGGGACAAAACUUUUCAACAGUUAUAAAACGAAAAAUCACGAUUUAACUGUUAUUUUAACUCCGAUUUUGAUGAUUUUUUACAGCUACAUUCCUUGACCCUAUAUGAAUACAAUGAAUGAACUCGAUCUUGAAUUUAAAAUAUUUACAAUAGUGGAUACCAUAAAAUCUUAUGUUAUACUUAAUGAAAGUAUGAAUAAACUUUUAAGUGUUAGUGAAUCUAUAUAUUAAAUUAAAUUUAAAAAUUUGACUAGUACUGUAUGAAUGUUUUUUUUAUUAAGCUCUUAUUUUCGAGUGUAGAUGUAGUACUUAAAAGAUAAAUGUGUUUUAAUGUUUUGAAGUAAUAUUUAUGUGGCAAUGUGUGGUAUGUGCAAAUUUAAGAAAAAAAUAUAUUUUUCUUAACGGGUCUUAACGGGUCAUAACGGGUCGGGUCACUUUACC
rnacentral:lncRNA from 1 species